rnacentral:rRNA from 1 species
UACAGAGGGGGCAAGCGUUGUUCGGAAUUACUGGGCGUAAAGGGCGCGUAGGCGGCCUUCUAAGUCGAACGUGAAAUCCCCGGGCUCAACCCGGGAACUGCGUCCGAUACUGGAAGGCUUGAAUCCGGGAGAGGGAUGCGGAAUUCCAGGUGUAGCGGUGAAAUGCGUAGAUAUCUGGAGGAACACCGGUGGCGAAGGCGGCAUCCUGGACCGGCAUUGACGCUGAGGCGCGAAAGCCAGGGGAGCGAAAGGG